rnacentral:lncRNA from 1 species
UGUGUAACUACUGAGACUCGUGUCAUCUCAACUAAUUGCGGUUAAGUUGAUAUAUAUCAAUGAAAAUAAAAUGAAGCAAGAGGUUGUUAUUAUUAUUAUGUAAUAAAGAAAGAAAAGAACCUGUAGGUGAGGUUAGUGGUGGUAAGUGAACGGAAAAUUCGGGAACUUAGUCCUCUCAACAUGGCCAUUGUUGGAUGAAGUUCCGAACAAUUAGCGGAUGAAAAUUUGGAUCCGACCCGAUUGAAGAUCCGGAGUUGAAGAGUGAGGGAAAACGGAGGGAGAAGAGAAGGAAUAAAUAGGAGACAGACAGAGAAUGAAUAGGGCGGUGGGAUGAUGGGAAUGGUGAGAGGAUCGAGGUGUGAUUUAAUUAGGUGACACUCAGUUGAUAAGUUUAAAGAAAUUACAUUUAUAUAUGGAGAUAAUUUUGAUCGCAUAAUUUAACAACUUUUGA